GGCGUCCUGGUCGAGCAUGACCUGGUACGGAGUGCAGGUGACGGUGACGACGGAGGUGACGUCCGCGGGUUCGAGGCCGGCGCUCGCCA
rnacentral:tRNA from 1 species